GCCUCUCGAGCUCGGAUGGUUGAGCGCACGCCUGAAAAGUGUGAGGUCGCCGGUUCGAUUCCGGCGGGAGGCA
rnacentral:tRNA from 1 species